UUAUGAUUGGAAAUGCCAUUUUGUUCCCGCCUCCCAUCAAAAAGCUUCUAGAUUCUUAUUUUGAAGGGUAUAACCUGGAGCUCAGCAUUUUGGCAUUAAAAGUAACUUCAUGCCACUUUUUUUUUUUUUAAUCGAUGGAAAAAAAAUGUUACCGCCUUGAUUCAGUGAUAAGGUUGGCUGUGAUUCGCAUAUAUUGCUUAAAAGACGGCGGAACGGCUGUAAACUGUUGACCUCGCAGUUCUGAGGUCCCGGGUUCAAUCCCGCACCCGCCUUUGUGGAAUUUCCAUGUUCUCCCCUUGCCUGUGUGGGUUUUUUCCCAGGCACUCUGGUUUCCUCCCACAUCCCAAAAACCUGGAACAUUAAUUGGACGUGAAAUUCCCCUUAGGUGUGAUUGUGAGAGUGGCUCUUUGUCUCUAUGUGCCUUGCGAUUGGCUGGCAACCAGUUCAGAGUGUACCCUGCCUCCUGCCUGUUGACAGCUGGGAUAGACUCCAGCACUCUCUGCGACCCUCGCGAGGAUAUUCGAAGUGUGUAUACAUUUUUUGGGGGAGACGCUGUAUUUUUAAAACUGAUGCUCCAGUUAAUGUUUUCUUUCCAAAAGUGCUCAGCUGAGGUGAAUGAAGGUGAUUGAUGAAAUGACAACCAUCACUAAUUAGGACACAGGUGUUGGUCAUUUGUCCUCCACUGUGAUUGGUCCUCAGAUCUCCUCAGUCUGGUUAAAGUCCGUAUGGGUGUUGUGUGACGUGUGCUGUUUCCAGUUCUUCAUUCUCAUCAUGGAGACUAACCUAGUUGCAGUUCUGCUGUGGUGUGCCGCAGCGCUUUCAGGUUUACUCGCGGCGCCAUCUUGGCUGGCAGUCACCUGUGACAACGGAAAAACGUGAUGGCGGCAUCCGACACAUCAAUGGAAAGCACAAGCAUGGAUUCAGUUUCAAGCUGCAGGAGGUCCAGAGCAGCAAAUAUUAACAGGUAUCGGGAGGUUGCCACAUAGAUGUGAAUGUGAAGCUCAUGCAGACCAAAUGUCACUUCACCAACCUCAAACCUGAUGACCAAUGCGAGCUGUAGCGCCGGGAUGAAUGGGGUGCAGUUGCCACCUACAGCAUUGAAUUCUGGGUGAUGUGUGACCAGAACUUACCAAUGAGGAGCUGGAGACCAUUUGUCCAUAUUGCCCCAAGUUGUUGCUUCUGGAUGAACCAACAACUGUGAAGGCUGUGCAUCACUGUGCUCAAGUGAAACCGGGAGAGUCAACACCUGAACUACUUCACCCUGAUGGAAGUGGCUCAUGUGACAAUGGGGGGUAAUUUUCUUUUCUCUUCUCCACCCAGUUUCACUUACUUGAUCACAUUUUUUUUUUUUUUUUUUUUUUAAUGCUUCCUGUCUCAGUCUGUUCCAUCCAUUGUCAGUUACUUUGCUCAAGUUUGCCCUGGUUGAGGCACCAGGAAUACUUUUGUGCCCUACAUGCCUCUCUGUCCGGACAGAGCUGUGAGUUGACUUUCAUGCUAAUGGCUAGUCGUAGAUGAACCCAUCUAAAUAUAAAAUGGCUCUGGGUACAUGUGACUUUUCUAUUCAAGUAUCACGCCUCAAACCUCUUAUUACAACUUGCACAGACAAGUGGGAAAACGAGUGAAUUCUAUCCUCCAAAAUAUCCAGGCCCCUACCCGACUGUGCCAGAACCUGUAUGCAGGCCGUUGUUCCACCAAAGUCCAGAAGCUUGUGUGUGCAAAGCACGGCUGAACAACCCAGAUCAUGCGAUCCACCACAUUUGACCAUUCCCGCUGAAGUGAUAUUGCUUGUGAACUACUUUAAUUAAAACAAAAGUACCUUGCUUUCCCUUA